GACAGUUUCGGUUGCGUGUGUGACCUUUGUGUUGAAAAUCAGAGGAGACUCAGGAGAGAAAGAGAGAGCAUAGGCUGCAUAGAAGAUAUUUGUUGUGGUUGUUUCAGAUUGCCAAGCGGUCAAAGGAAGGUACGCUCUACCCACUUCCAAAACAAGAAAAGAAAGAAAGAUACGCUAGCUUUCUCUCGAUACUUCCUCUUCACAUGAAACAAUGAAGCCUUCGGUGACCAUCGAUGUCCCCAUGUUAACAGGGAUCGCAAGUUCGCAACUCAACCUCCGAUGUCCUCUUUUGCUCUGAAAGGCUCUCCUUUGGUCAUCCCUUCGAACCCACCUGAAUUAAUCUCGUUGGCCCCAUGUAGUGCAGUGGACAUGAGAGCGGCCACAUCGUCGGAAAGAAGGAAAGUGCAGGGGCUUUGCUGUGUGGUGAAGCCUAAUGUUCUAGCAGCUACUUUAGAGGAGGCUAAGGAUUAUUCUUGUAAGGCGGUGCGGAUUGUGAGGAGAUAAAACCUCAUGGAAGUUGUUAUAACCUUGACACGGUAUUUGCCCAUGCUUCUUAUGCUUUCAAUAGCUACCUACAAAAGAACAAGAGAAACAGAAGGACUAAUUGGGAUAUUCUUAAACUAAAAAUAAAUAAAUAAAUAAUUGGUUUCUUCAUGUCUGUUUGCUUAUUUCAGGUUUUAUGCAUUGUUGGUUCAUCCUUGGUUGAGGUUGGAGACAUGUUCAAAUAAAUUUUUGCUGAUUUUCCGUUUCUUCUU